rfam:Neotoma lepida isolate 417 scaffold_1784, whole genome shotgun sequence.
GGAGAGAUGGCUCAGUGGUUAAGAGCACUGACUGUCCUUCCAGAGGACCUGGGUUCAAUUCCCAGCCUCCACA